AUUGAACGCUGGCGGCAUGCCUUACACAUGCAAGUCGAACGGUAACGGGCCUUCGGGUGCCGACGAGUGGCGAACGGGUGAGUAAUACAUCGGAACGUGCCCGAUCGUGGGGGAUAACGAGGCGAAAGCUUUGCUAAUACCGCAUACGAUCUACGGAUGAAAGCAGGGGACCGCAAGGCCUUGCGCGGACGGAGCGGCCGAUGGCAGAUUGGGUAGUUGGUGGGAUAAAAGCUUACCAAGCCGACGAUCUGUAGCUGGUCUGAGAGGAUGAUCAGCCACACUGGGACUGGGACACGGCCCAGACUCCUACGGGAGGCAGCAGUGGGGAAUUUUGGACAAUGGGCGCAAGCCUGAUCCAGCCAUGCCGCGUGCAGGAUGAAGGCCUUCGGGUUGUAAACUGCUUUUGUACGGAACGAAAAGCCUUCUUUUAAUACAGGAGGGUCAUGACGGUACCGUAAGAAUAAGCACCGGCUAACUACGUG
rnacentral:rRNA from 1 species